UAUGGCCAUAUCAUGAUGAAACAUUGGUCCCCGUAGAAUCAUUGAAGUUAAGCAACAUAAAGCCUGGUCAGUACCUAGAUGGGUGACCACUUGGGAAUACCAG